rfam:Lupinus angustifolius cultivar Tanjil chromosome LG01, whole genome shotgun sequence.
GUUGAUUGAAAUGUUGUAUGGUUCAAGUUCACAUAUCAAUGAUGGUUGCUCAAAGUUUUUGAAGCUUUAUCGAUUUAUAGGAUUUCAAUCUUUUCUACCCUUGAAACAAAGAAGCAAUCGAAUUUUGAUGCUAGUCUUUUAUGUAACCUUGGACCAGGCUUCAUUUCAAUCAAC